UUUAUAGUUGGACAAUCUGAAGUCAAGAAUUCAACUGAAGAAGCAAAAUGGAUUUGCUUGCAGUGAGACGAAGACGUGGAGGAAAUCCUGUGCUGAUGAGGUUGCCAUCUCCCUACAUGAGAAUGAGCCAGAGUAUGAACUAGACGGACUCCCAGAGGUGGUGAAAAAAGGGUUUCCUGCUAUUCCUAUUGUGAAAACCGACCCUUACAUUUUGUGCAGAACAACUUUUAACCUAAGGACCAGUCCCCGUCUUGCUGCCCAAAGCCAAAAAUUGUCACCCGGUUC